rnacentral:SRP_RNA from 1 species
GCCAGGCAUGGUGGUGUAUACCUGUAGUCUCAAUUACGUGGGAGGCUGGGGUGGGAGGAUUGCUUGAGCCUAGUAGCUCUAGGCUGCAGUGCGCCAUGAUCUGGGCAAUAUAGCCACUGCACUCCAGUCUGGGCAAUAUAGCGAGAUCCCAUCUCUA